AGUGAACGCUGGCGGUAGGCCUAACACAUGCAAGUCGAACGGCAGCACAGUAAGAGCUUGCUCUUACGGGUGGCGAGUGGCGGACGGGUGAGGAAUACAUCGGAAUCUACUUUUUCGUGGGGGAUAACGUAGGGAAACUUACGCUAAUACCGCAUACGACCUACGGGUGAAAGCAGGGGAUCUUCGGACCUUGCGCGAUUGAAUGAGCCGAUGUCGGAUUAGCUAGUUGGCGGGGUAAAGGCCCACCAAGGCGACGAUCCGUAGCUGGUCUGAGAGGAUGAUCAGCCACACUGGAACUGAGACACGGUCCAGACUCCUACAGGAGGCAGCAGUGGGGAAUAUUGGACGAUGGGCGCAAUCCUGAUCCAGCCAUACCGCGUGGGUGAAGAAGGCCUUCGGGUUGUAAAGCCCUUUUGUUGGGAAAGAAAAGCAGCAGGUUAAUACCCCGCUGUUCUGACGGUACCCAAAGAAUAAGCACCGGCUAACUUCGUG
rnacentral:rRNA from 1 species